GGUUAAGCGACUAGCGUACGGUGAAUGCCCCUGGCAGUCCAGAAGGCGAUGAAGGGCGUGCUAAUCUGCGAUAGCGCCGGUAAGGUGAUAUGAACCGUUACUUAACCGGCGUGCGAAUACAGAAGCAUUGUGACUCGUCACACUAUCGUAUGAAUCCAUAGGUUAAUAUGAGGCGAACCGGAACUGAAACAUCUAAAUUUUGAGGAAAAAUCAGCCGAGAUUCCCCAGUAGCGGCGAGCGAGCAGGGGAGGCAGAGCCUGAAUCAGCAUGUGUGUUGAGUGGAAGCGUCUGGAAAGGCGCGCGAUACGGGUGACAACCCCGUACACAAAAGCGCAUGUGCUGGCGAGCUCCGACGUGAGCGGACACGUGGUAUCCCUGUCUGAAUAUAGGGGGACCAUCACUCCAAGGCUAAAUACUCCUGACUGACCGAUAGUGAACCAGUACCGUGAGGAAAGGCGAAAAGAACGGCGAGGAGUGAAAAAGAACCUGAAACCGUGUACGUACAACGGUAGAGGCCCCACCGCAAAAGCGUUUUGCUUUUGUGGUGCACAAGCAGCGGCAGCACUGAAUGACGGUUAACGGGCGCAAGCGACGUUCAACAUACAAAGUCAAGCUUGAUGGGCGGCGCUUUUGGGGGUAGAGGUGACUGCGUACCUUUUAUAUAAUAGGUCAGCAACUUAUAUUCUGCUUGCCAAGGUUAACCGAAUAGAGGCGGAGGAAACCGAGUCUUAACCGGGCGUUAAAUUUGCAGAACAGGCCCGAGCAGUGAUGAUCUACAGCCGCCAUAGGCAGAGUUGAAGAUUUGAGUAACACACUAGCACGGGAGGACCGAACCGACUAAUGUUGAAAAAUUAGCGGAUGACCUGUGGCUGGUGAAAGGCCAAUCGCAAACCGGGAAGUAGCGGACUUCUCCCCGAAAGCUAUUUAGGUAGCGCCUCGUGAAUUCAUCUCCGGGGUAGAGCACUGUUCAGCUAGAGGCCAUCCCGGCUUACCAACCCGAUGCAAACUGCGAAUACCGGAAGGAGAAUAUUUAUCACAGGAAGACACGGCAGGUAUAACGUCCGUCGUGAAAGAGCAGCAGACCGCCAGCUAAGGUCCCAAAGUCAUGGUUAAGUGGGAAACGUGUGGGAAGGCCCGAACAGCGGGAUAUUUGGCUUAGAAGCGGCGGCCGCCAAUUUUAAAGAAAGCGUAAUAGCUCACUGCGUUAGUCGGCCUGCGCGGAAAGAUGUAACGGGGCGCUAAACGCACCAGGCUGCGGCAGCAGGCAAUAUCACCCAAAGACAACUUGCAGGUUGACGAUUGACGGGCGCUGACAUCCAAAGCGUUCAUUAAAGUCGGGGUGGCGAGGAUACGUUCUAGAUGAGUGAAAGCGGUGUAAGCCUGCGAAGGUGGCCUGUGAGGGUUGCUGGAGGUAUCAGAAGUGCGGAAAUACUGACAUAAAUGGCGCGAUAAAGCGGGUGAAAAAGCGCUACGCCGGAAGACCAAAGGUUCCUGUCCAACGUUAAUCGGGGCAGAGGUGAGUCGACCCUAAAGGCGAGGCCGAAGGCGUAGUCGAUAGGAAGCAGGUUAACAGUAUUCCCGUACUUGAGUAUUGCGAAGGGGACGGAGAGAGCUAUGUUGGCCGGAGCGACGGUUGUCCCGGUUUAGCGAUGUGGGGUGUGUUCGAGUAGAAGCUCCGUUCACUUUAACACUGAGGCGUGAUGACGAGGCACUACGGUGCUGAAGCAGCAAAUGCCCUGCUUCGAGGAAAAGCCUCCUAAGCAUCAGUAACGCAUCAAAUCGUACUGACGACACAGGUGGUCAGGAGUAGAAAUACCAGGCGCUUGAGAGAACUUUCAGGUGAGAAGGAACUAGGCAAAAUAGUGCCGUAACUUCGGGAGAAGAGCACGCUGACACGUAGGUAGUGAUUUACUCAUGAGCUGAAGUCAGUCGAAGAUACCAGCUGGCUGCAACUGUUUAGUAAAAAACACAGCACUGUGUGCAAACACGAAAGUGGACGUAUACAGGUGACUUUGCCCGGUGCCGGAAGGUUAAUUGAUACCAGGGUCAGCGCAAGCGAAGCUCUGAUCGAAAGCCCCGGUAAGCAGCGGCGCCAACUAUAACGGUCCUAAGGUAGCGAAUUCACUUGUCCGGGCGGGUUUGACCUGCACGAAUGGCGUAAUGAUGGCGGUAAUAUACACGCCCGAGACUUUCAGUGAAAUUGAACUCGCUGUGAAGAUGCAAUUGUACCCGCGGCAAGACGGAAAGACCCGUGAACCUUUACUAUAGCUUGACACUGAACAUUGAGCCUUGAUGUGUAGGAUAGGUGGGAGGCUUUGAAGUGUGGACGCCAGUCUGCAUGGAGCCGACCUUGAAAUACCCUGCACAAUGUUUGAUGUUCCUAACGUGGACCCGUUACCCGGGUUGCGGACGGUGUCUGGUGGAGUAGUUUGACUGGGGCGUUCUCCUCUAAAGAGUAACGGAGGGCACGAAGGUUGGCCCAAUCUUUGGUCGGACAUCAGGAGGUUAGUGCAAUGGCAUAAGCCAGCUUGACUGCGAGCGUGACGGCGCGAGCAGGUGCGAAAGCUGGAGUCAUAGUGAUCGGUGGUUUUGAAUGGAAGGGCCAUCGCUCAACGGAUAAAAGGUACUCCGGGGAUAACAGGCUGAUACCGCCCAGAGUUCAUAUCGACGGCGGUGUUUGGCACCUCGAUGUCGGCUCAUCACAUCCUGGGGCUGAAGUAGGUCCCAAGGGUAUGGCUGUUCGCCAUUUAAAGUGGUACGCGAGCUGGGUUUUAGAACGUCGUGAGACAGUUCGGUCCCUAUCUGCCGUGAGCGCUUCUGGAGAACUGAGGGGGCUGCUCCUAGUACGAGAGAGGACCGGAGUGGACGCAUCACUGGUGUUCAGGUUGUCAUGCCAAUGGCACUGCCCGGUAGCUAAACCGCGGAAGAGAUAAGUGCUGAAAGCAUCUAAGCACGAAACUGCCCCGAGAUGAGUUCUCCCUGGACUUGAGUCCCUGAAGGAACGUUGAACGACGACGUUGAUAGGCCGGGUAUUAAUGGCGCAGCGUGCGUUGAGCUAACCGGUACUAAUGAACCGUGGGAAGCUUAACCUU
rnacentral:rRNA from 1 species